rnacentral:snoRNA from 1 species
UGCCUUUAUGUGUUGCCCUUUCAUUGCUUCCUUAAUGAUUGGGGUGUCAAAUAAGGCAUAAAGUGACAUUUGUAGCUGUUGCUGAAAUGAGUGUUAUGUGACUCUUUCACACAAACAGCUGCAAGGACACAC